rnacentral:rRNA from 1 species
GAUGAACGCUGGCGGCAUGCCUAACACAUGCAAGUCGAACGGAGUUAUGUUGAUUGAUUUCUUCGGAAUGAUUUUGAUAUAACUUAGUGGCGGACGGGUGAGUAACGCGUGAGUAACCUGCCUCUCAGAGGGGGAUAACGUUCUGAAAAGAACGCUAAUACCGCAUAUUAUUACGAAAUCGCAUGGUUUUGUAAUGAAAGGAGCAAUCCGCUGAGAGAUGGACUCGCGUCUGAUUAGCUAGAUGGUGGGGUAACGGCCUACCAUGGCGACGAUCAGUAGCCGGACUGAGAGGUUGAACGGCCACAUUGGGACUGAGACACGGCCCAGACUCCUACGGGAGCAGCAGUGGGGGAUAUUGCGCAAUGGGGAAACCCUGACGCAGCAAUGCCGCGUGAAGGAAGACGGUUUUCGGAUUGUAAACUUCUUUUGUAAAGGACGAUAAUGACGGUACUUUACGAAUAAGCUCCGGCUAACUAUAGUGCCAGCAG